CUGGGCUUGACAUGCGACGUGGUACGACCGUGAAAGCGGGAGGACCCGCAAGGGAGCGCGCACAGAUGCUGCAUGGCUGUCGUCAGCUCGUGCCGUGAGGUGUUGGGUUAAGUCCCGCAACGAGCGCAACCCUCGCUGCCAGUUACGAUGUCUGGCGGGACCGCCGGGUCCAACCCGGAGGAAGGUGGGGAUGACGUCAAGUCAGCACGGCUCUUACGUCCAGGGCUACACACACGCUACAAUGGCCGGUACAACGCGCGGCGAAGGGGCGACCCGGAGCGAAUCGCAGCAAAGCCGGUCUCAGUUGGGAUUGCAGGCUGCAACUCGCCUGCAUGAACGCGGAGUUGCUAGUAACCGCAGGUCAGCACACUGCGGUGAAUACGUUCCCGGGCCUUGUACACACCGCCCGUCACGUCAUGAAAGUUGGAGACGCCUGAAGUCGGUUCGCUAACCUUGAUGGGGGCAGCCGCCGAGGGUGGGGCCAGCGAUUGGGACG
rnacentral:rRNA from 1 species